rnacentral:rRNA from 1 species
AGUAGCUUGCUACUUGCUGACGACCGGCGCACGGGUGCGUAACGCGUAUACAAUCUACCUUAUACUGGAGAAUAGCCCAGAGAAAUUUGGAUUAAUGCUCCAUAAUAUUUUCAAAUCGCAUGAUUUGAAUCUUAAAGUUCCGGCGGUAUAAGAUGAGUAUGCGUGAUAUUAGCUAGUUGGUAAGGUAACGGCUUACCAAGGCAACGAUAUCUAGGGGGUCUGAGAGGACUAUCCCCCACACUGGUACUGAGACACGGACCAGACUCCUACGGGAGGCAGCAGUGAGGAAUAUUGGGCAAUGGAGGCAACUCUGACCCAGCCAUGCCGCGUGAAGGAAGAAGGCCUUAUGGGUUGUAAACUUCUUUUAUUUGGGAAGAACCCUUUCUACGUGUAGAAAGCUGACGGUACCAAACGAAUAAGGACCGGCUAACUCCGUGCCAGCAGCCGCGGUAAUACGGAGGGUCCAAGCGUUAUCCGGAAU